rnacentral:rRNA from 1 species
GAUGAACGCUAGCGGGAGGCCUAACACAUGCAAGCCGAGCGGUAGAGUUUCUUCGGAAACUUGAGAGCGGCGCACGGGUGCGUAACACGUGUGCAACCUACCUUUAUCUGUGGGAUAGCCUUUCGAAAGGAAGAUUAAUACCCCAUAAUAUAAUGAUUGGCAUCAAUUAUUAUUGAAAACUCCGGUGGAUAGAGAUGGGCACGCGCAAGAUUAGAUAGUUGGUGAGGUAACGGCUCACCAAGUCAAUGAUCUUUAGGGGUCCUGAGAGGGAGAUCCCCCACACUGGUACUGAGACACGGACCAGACUCCGACGGGAGGCAGCAGUGAGGAAUAUUGGACAAAGGGUGAGAGCCUGAUCCAGCCAUCACGCGUGAAGGAUGACGGUCCUAUGGAUUGUAAACUUCUUUUGUACAGAGAUAAACCUACCCUCGUGAGGGUAGCUGAAGGUACUGUACGAAUAAGCACCGGCUAACUCCG